ensembl:lncRNA
GCAUUUAACGCCUUUACAAACUUCCCAGGAACAUGAAAAACAUUCUACAAUAUUGACAAUUAUCUAAUCAUCCUAAGAAAACAAAGGCAGUAGGACGAGGUGGCCGAGUGGUUAAGGCGAUGGACUGCUAAUCCAUUGUGCUCUGCACGCAUGGGUUCGAAUCCCAUUCUCGUCGCAUUUACCUGAUGCUGGUUUACCAUGUCAGUGUUUAAAGAAAGGCUCAGAUCGUCAAGAAAACCUCAUUGAUGCAUUCAACGAGUCCUUUAGCAACCACACGCAGGUGCAUCCUGCUGAUUUCGAUUGUGCAGCAGUUGUUUAUCAAUCUGGUCAUUUUCCACUAUUCGCAGGCACAAAAUUAAUUAAGUUUUAGUGGAGAAUGCGGGCGUUGAUCACGCUACUUCUCGCAUGCUAAGCGAGCGCUCUACCAUUUGAGCUAAUUCCCCAACA